ACUAGAGAUCAUGAGAAGAAUUCUUUCUUCUCUUUUCUUUCUAAAACUCAUGCACCAAAUCUCUAUGCUAGAGAUGUAAAAAUUUUAUCCAACUCUUGGACAAAGAGAAGAGAAAAAUCUAUAUCCAAAUAUGGACAAAAGAGAGAGAGAGAUAUCCUAACAACCAACCUUUGGUAAUUCAUAAGAAAGAAGGGAUAGGAGCACAAAUACCUCACGCCCA
rnacentral:lncRNA from 1 species